rnacentral:rRNA from 1 species
GACGUAGGGCGCGAGCGUUGUCCGGAUUUAUUGGGCGUAAAGAGCUCGUAGGCGGCUUGUCGCGUCGACCGUGAAAACUUGGGGCUCAACCCCAAGCCUGCGGUCGAUACGGGCAGGCUCGAGUUCGGUAGGGGAGACUGGAAUUCCUAGUGUAGCGGUGAAAUGCGCAGAUAUCAGGAGGAACACCGAUGGCGAAGGCAGGUCUCUGGGCCGAUACUGACGCUGAGGAGCGAAAGCGUGGGGAGCGAACAGG